rnacentral:rRNA from 1 species
AGUAAUGUAUGGGGAUCUGCCUGAUGGCGGGGGGUAACUACUGGAAACGGUAGCUAAUACCGCAUAAUGUCUGCGGACCAAAGCGGGGGACCUCCGGGCCUCGCGCCAUCAGAUGAACCCAUAUGGGAUUAGCUUGUAGGUAAGGUAACGGCUUACCUAGGCGACGAUCCCUAGCUGGUCUGAGAGGAUGAUCAGCCACACUGGGACUGAGACACGGUCCAG